rnacentral:misc_RNA from 1 species
AAGAAGAUAUGUUUGUGGACUGCCCGGACGAGUUAGCUGGCAAUGUGGAUGGCAGAGAAGUAGUAGCAGCUGCUGAAAUUCAAGGUAGUUUGAUAGAGGAAACGCCUUCUGAUAUGCAACAGGAAUUACAGUAUGAGGUAGAAAAGGUUUCUCUGAUGCAUGAGGUGGAAAACACGAGGGCCACUCUGAAUAAGACCAUUUUUGAGAAAGAAAAUGUCAUACACGACUUUGAGGAAGAAAGAGAGGCUUUUGUGCAAGAACUUCUUAUCAUUUG